rnacentral:piRNA from 1 species
UAUACAAACCACGAUACCCUCUUUCAUGA